rnacentral:rRNA from 1 species
AAAGAUUAAGCCAUGCAUGUCUAAGUAUAAGCAAUUAUACAGUGAAACUGCGAAUGGCUCAUUAAAUCAGUUAUCGUUUAUUUGAUAGUACCUAAUUACUUGGAUACCCGUGGUAAUUCUAGAGCUAAUACAUGCUAAAAAUCCCGACUUCUGGAAGGGAUGUAUUUAUUAGAUAAAAAACCAAUGNCCUUCNGGGCUCCUUGGUGAUUCAUAAUAACUUUACGAAUCGCAUGGCCUUGCGCCGGCGAUGGUUCAUUCAAAUUUCUGCCCUAUCAACUUUCGAUGGUAGGAUAGAGGCCUACCAUGGUUUUGACGGGUAACGGGGAAUAAGGGUUCGAUUCCGGAGAGGGAGCCUGAGAAACGGCUACCACAUCCAAGGAAGGCAGCAGGCGCGCAAAUUACCCAAUNCCGACACGGGGAGGUAGUGACAAUAAAUAACAAUACAGGGCUCUUUUGGGUCUUGUAAUUGGAAUGAGUACAAUUUAAAUACCUUAACGAGGAACAAUUGGAGGGCAAGUCUGGUGCCAGCAGCCGCGGUAAUUCCAGCUCCAAUAGCGUAUAUUAAAGUUGCUGCAGUUAAAAAGCUCGUAGCUGAACCUUGGCCUUGGUUGACCGGUCCGCCUAACGGUGUGCACUGGCUUGACCGAGGCUUUCCUUCUGGCUAGCCUGUAUGGUAUUAAUUUAUUGUGCAGGGGAACCAGGACUUUUACUUUGAAAAAAUUAGAGUGUUCAAAGCAGGCUUAUGCUCGAAUACAUUAGCAUGGAAUAAUAGAAUAGGACGUGUGGUUCUAUUUUGUUGGUUUCUAGGACCGCCGUAAUGAUUAAUAGGGACAGUUGGGGACAUUAGUAUUGAGUUGUCAGAGGUGAAAUUCUUGGAUUUACUCAAGACUAACUACUGCGAAAGCAUUUGUCAAGGAUGUUUUCAUUAGUCAAGAACGAAAGUUAGGGGAUCGAAGACGAUCAGAUACCGUCGUAGUCUUAACCAUAAACUAUGCCGACUAGGGAUCGGGCGAUGUUCUUUUCUUGACUCGCCCGGCACCUUAUGAGAAA